rnacentral:lncRNA from 1 species
CCGUACCUGCUUUUCAAGGAUACCCUAUGCAAGGAGUACCAUAUUAUCCAGCUUAUCCAGGAAAUGGGCCUCUCUAUCAACCUCCUUAUCCAGGAAUGGAAGACUCUCGAAUGAGUGUCACUCCGAAAACUAGACAGAAAAGACAGUCUUUGGAUAGGGGAGAAAGCAACAGUGAAUCGGAGGAGGACGAAGAAAUGGAUAGUGAAGG